AUGUUUGGCUUUUCUUCACUCGCAGCUGCAGCCAUCGUCUCAUCGCUAUCAGAACUGAGUUUAGUAGAUUUUAGGUUCUUAAAAUCCCCAUCUUUACAAGAACUUCGAAAAAUCUACCUUUUAAUCUUGGUUCAAAAUGAGCUUUUGCUGCAGAUCUACAAUCAGUAGAUCUUAUUCUCCAAACCCAUUUCAACUUUUCUCAAAAAUAUGAAGUACCAGUACCAAGAUUUUAAUUUUAUUUAGGGUUCAUCUUGUCUUUUACAUAUUGAUACCUUUGCUUUUUCUAUUUAGAAUUUACAAUCAGAUCUAAAUCUUUCUUAGAUUACUCAUUUAAUUAAUCUAUAGUUGUACUGGUAAUUGCUAUGAAUUCUCUUUACACGAUGAAGGAAAGCUACAAUUGUCUCACAGAUUAAUUUCCUAAAGCUAUUUUAAUCUAUAGAUUUCGAUUGAGAUUUUGAUGAUUUUUAGGCGUGUCGUUUCCACGAUGAUUGCAAAAAAAAAUUAGCUAAUGAGGAUCCCUCUCUGCAUGUCGUUAAUCUACGGCUAAUGCUCUUGGGGUCAUGAGUUUGAACUCACCACCACAACUAACAGGAUGUAUUGCAAACGGUGGAGACCCUUGUGGAAUAGGGAUCAAUUGGAAAGGUGUUACCUACUUACCUGCACCGGCACAUCCGUUACAGAUUUAAAAUUAUCAGGUCCUCAACUAAAUGGAAAUGUUGGUGUGAAAUGGAAAUGUUGGUAUGAAGCUCUGCGAUUGGGAAUAAGAUGGAGUUUCAGAAAUUGAAUAAAGAUUGAAAAUGGGUUUUGAUUUUUGUGUUGCAUUGCUCCGUGUUUGAUUUUUGUGUUGAAAUUGAAUGGAUUUGUGUUUAAUUUCUGUAUUUAAUAGAGAUUGCAGAUGGUUAAAGUUUAAACAGGACCAAAAAUUAACUCAAUUAAAUUUUAAUUUUGAA